CCUGGUGAAGCUCAAGAGCGAGAAGGUCCUCAUGAAGUUCUCCAAAGGUGACGCUUCGAUUCGGGCCCUUCGGGAGCCGAAUUUGGGGUGGGGGGAGGUGUUUUGGGGGUCCCUGGCCCCAGGAAGGUUUUUUGGGGGUCCCUGGUGCCAGGGAGGUGUUUUUGGGGUCCCUGAUGUGGGAGGAGGUUUUUGUGGGGUCCCUGGUGCUAGGGAGGUGUUUUUGGGAUCCCUGGUGCUGGAGAGGUGUUUGUGGGGUCCCUGACACUGGUGAGGUGUUUGUGGGGUCCCUGGCACCAGGGAGGUGUUUUUGGGGUCCCUGAUGUGG